UACGUAGGUGGCAAGCGUUAUCCGGAAUUAUUGGGCGUAAAGAGCGCGCAGGUGGUUGAUUAAGUCUGAUGUGAAAGCCCACGGCUUAACCGUGGAGGGUCAUUGGAAACUGGUCGACUUGAGUGCAGGAGAGGAGAAAUGGAAUUCCUAGUGUAGCGGUGAAAUGCGUAGAUAUCACGAGGAACACCGAUGGCGAAGGCGGCUUCCUGGUCUGUAACUGACACUGAGGCGCGAAAGCGUGGGGAGCAAACAGGAUUAGAUA
rnacentral:rRNA from 1 species